rnacentral:lncRNA from 1 species
UGUCAACACUCAUGCCAGGAUUAUACAGACACUGGGACAACCUCCUCCCACAACCAGCCUCCUUCCUUGAGGUGACCUAGGGGAAAUGAAGGCAUUCGUGACAAUACUUUCCAUCACACCAGAAGAGAUGAGAGUUUAAACACCAUUAGACUGAGAAGAGAAACUCGGGGGGCUUUUAACUUCAGUCCAACCAGGGAACCACACUGUGGUAGAAAUAGAACUUGCUUCAAACUUCCUGGCUUUGAAUCCCAGUUCUGCACCUGACUUGUGAGUCAGCACUGACAAUGUAAUGAUUUCAGCCUGUUUUGGCCGAAGACUCCAAAACAGUAAGUGCCCAUCACUCCCACAUACCGAAGUGAAAUACUAGACUGCCUAUGCAGGAUUUGAGAACGGAAGAUUGAGAGACAAAAGCACUUAGGAAAGAAAAGAAAUUUACUCUCAAAAGAGCUCAAGGGAGUUAAACUUCAGACAGCUUGGCUUACAAAUAAAUAAAUAAGUAAAUAAAUAAAUAAAUAAAUACAUAAAUAAGUCUAUGAUAGCUAUUUAAAGGGAAAAUCCCUUAACAUUAGCAAGGUUAGCUAGUUUACAUUAGCCUGUUCUGGUGGAUUUUCUCAUAUGUUUAUCAUAUCCUCAAAAGUCAUGACAUAUGGUCAGAUAUCGGUACUACAAAAGCCAGGAUAAAGGUUUUUGUUAGAGUCAGGUAAGAAUCAAAUAACACCCCCAACCCCAUCAGGAAAGGAAGGAGUUACAGAGGCCGGAGACCUAGCUUUACUGGAGAAGCUAAAGGCUUGCUAAUUUCGGACACAAGAAGCAGAAAUGGUGAGUUUAUUAUUUGUGGUUUAUCUCCCAGUGCAACUUGGUUUUAUUUUGUUUUCCUCCCUGGUUGUGAAAAAUGGUGUUCAGAUUAUUCAUGUUAAAUAAAAAUUAUAGGAGGCCACUGUUUUGGACUAAGCUCUUGCACCAGGCCCCAACAGAUCAGACUAAAAACCAAAAUGGAGUCACCCAUGCUAAAGUCCCACAUCACCAAGGUGAAACCGAGUUGUCAUCUGGCCUUCCAAGAAAUCAGGAGAGAAAGAUAAUAGCCAAAUUGCUGAGCCAAAGUGGACCACAGCAGUGUUGCUCCCACUGUAGGUCCUUGGCUGGGGAAAGGGAGAUGCUUUAUGAUUAAAGUUUAGGGAUUUUUUUGGUUUUGCAUAGCAUUGGACAUAUUAAUUAUUGAUGUGAGACUAUUCUGAGGAUGAAAGUAACUGGGAACUUUUUUUUUUUUUGAGACG